rnacentral:rRNA from 1 species
GUCGCCGGUGAAGCUCCAGCUUGCUGGAGUGGAUCAGUGGCGAACGGGUGAGUAACACGUGAGCAACCUGCCCCAAACUCUGGAAUAAGCGCUGGAAACGGCGUCUAAUACUGGAUACGAGACCAACCUGCAUGGGUAUGGUUUGGAAAGUUUUUCGGUUUGGGAUGGGCUCGCGGCCUAUCAGCUUGUUGGUGAGGUAAUGGCUCACCAAGGCGACGACGGGUAGCCGGCCUGAGAGGGCGACCGGCCACACUGGGACUGAGACACGGCCCAGACUCCUACGGGAGGCAGCAGUGGGGAAUAUUGCACAAUGGGCGAAAGCCUGAUGCAGCGACGCCGCGUGAGGGAUGACGGCCUUCGGGUUGUAAACCUCUUUCAGCAGGGAAGAAGCGAAAGUGACGGUACCUGCAGAAGAAGCACCGGCUAACUACGUGCCAGCAGCCGCGGUAAUACGUAGGGUGCGAGCGUUGUCCGGAAUUAUUGGGCGUAAAGAGCUUGUAGGCGGUUUGUCGCGUCUGCUGUGAAAAUCCGGGGCUCAACCCCGGACUUGCAGUGGGUACGGGCAGACUAGAGUGUGGUAGGGGAGACUGGAAUUCCUGGUGUAGCGGUGAAAUGCGCAGAUAUCAGGAGGAAC